GUGCUCGCUUCGGCAGCACAUAUACUGAAAUUGGGAUGAUACAGAGAAGAUUAGCGUGGCACCUGUGCAAGGAUGACAUGCAAAUUCGUGAAAAAGUGGAAUAUUCA